rnacentral:rRNA from 1 species
GACGAACGCUGGCGGCGUGCUUAACACAUGCAAGUCGAACGGAAAGGCCUCUUUCGGGGGGUACUCGAGUGGCGAACGGGUGAGUAACACGUGAGUAACCUGCCCUUGACUUUGAGAUAACUUCAGGAAACUGGGGCUAAUACCGGAUAGGAGCUCCUGCUGCAUGGUGGGGGUUGGAAAGUUUCGGCGGUUGGGGAUGGACUCGCGGCUUAUCAGCUUGUUGGUGGGGUAGUGGCUUACCAAGGCUUUGACGGGUAGCCGGCCUGAGAGGGUGACCGGCCACAUUGGGACUGAGAUACGGCCCAGACUCCUACGGGAGGCAGCAGUGGGGAAUAUUGCACAAUGGGUGGAAGCCUGAUGCAGCAACGCCGUGUGCGGGAUGACGGCCUUCGGGUUGUAAACCGCUUUCGCUCAUGACGAAGCUUUGUGUGACGGUAGUGGGUAAAGAAGCACCGGCUAACUACGUG